UUGGCAAAUUGUUAGUUUACUCUAGAUUUGAUUGUAACUCAGUUCCAUCUUGAAUCAUGUUAAAUCUUAUUUUUUGUCUUACAUUUCUGUUUCAGGCAACCUUACCUAAAACAUAUCUUAUUGAAACAGCAGAUGAACCCCUACCAUUUGCAGUAGAACCAGGGCCAGAUGCAAAUCUACCACGAACUGGUGAUGACUAUAUUGUGUGGGCAGAUAGGAGUACAGAGUAUCCAACUAGUGAGGAUUAUUCUAAUGCAUUGAUGUUAAUUUGAAAUGUUCUGUAAAACAAUGUUACGAAAUAAAUGGAUCUACCCAGACUCAA